ensembl:lncRNA
CAGGUCACUCUGAGAGAAACAUCUUCUACUCUUCGGUAUUUGUUAUUUCCUGAAGACAACAUUUCCUGUGCUCUAAAAGGACACGAGGAGUUUCCCUCUCCACCAGUGUAUGCUCCAGAGCUUCCUCUGUGUCAGUGAGUCCCUCUGCUGAGAUAGUGGAGGGCAGUUCAGUGACUCUGACCUGUAGCAGUGAUGCUAACCCAGCAGCUAAUUACACCUGGUACAAGGAGGAUGAAGACUCCUCUAGAACAUCAGGACACAACUUCACCAUCAGCAACAUCAGACCUGAGCACAGUGGGAGUUAUUACUGUGUGGCCCACAACAAUAGAGGGACUCAUAACUCCACCUUACAGCUGACUGUUGUAGCAGGUAAUCAAUGACAUUCAGCUCAUGUGGAUUUAAUGAUGAUGGCAGUGAGGAGGAUAGCUCAUCCAACAGCUGGAAGCUGCUCGGUCACUUCAAAGAUCACACUCUCCACAUUUUUACAUCCUAGAAUUUUGUCCUCUUCAUUGUUGGUGAUAUAAAUCUGAUGUGUUGCUUUUCUGUAUACAGAACAUCUGUUGCUCUGAGGAAGAGCUUUGGCUGCAUUGUUGGGUUCUUCUGGCAGUGUUUGACUUUAACUUACACUUGACUGAUGGCCUUUCUUCACAAAGUAUCCUCCUCACUGCAUGAGCUCAGAGGUUAAUAGUAGAAGUUAAACAUGUAGACAAAGUUACAACUGAAAGCUGCUGAAACUGCAGCAGUACUGUUCUGUACUUUUUGUAGCAGUCGUUGACAUAUGAUAUAUGACUCUACAUUCUUAGUGUUACUUUCUGUACUCAGGAAGUGAUGCUGGUUUAACUUCAAAUUUAAUUGUAAUGUUUCUGUUUUUCUCACAUGAACUUCUGACAUCAGCAGUGGUGUAGCAGGAGUCUGGAGGAGGAUAUGUCUUCCUAAAACUUGUUCAUUAACUGCUCAAAUUUUCAAUGCUGGGAUGGCACCAGUUAACUCAUUGUGCUGAAGGACUAAUCUAAGUUGUCUAACUCUAACUAUAUGCCAGUACAUCAGUGAUCAGAGCACUGCUUUAACUGUUCUAACCUGCAGUAACUCUACUUUAUGUUACAAUCAGAUAAUUGAGGCCAUAAAAUAAGGAAAGCAUUACAUGAGUUUCAGUGAACUCAAGUCUUACAGUAGCUUAUUUUGCUGACUAUUCGUGCAUGAACAAGCUCCUGUACAGUUUUACAAAGAGUACAAUUAUCUAAAAUUCCAGGCACAGUAACAUUUAUUCUACAAUGUUGUGGCUUAACUUGACUUGAUGUCGUGCCUGAAUCGACUCUGUGCUCAGUUGUUGUAAUGCUAACUUAACUGUCAGUGUUUUAUUUUGAUCUUUGUUUCCACAGGAGCAGGAACAUUAGAAGCUGCUGGAGUAACUGCUGCUGUUCUCCUGCCUGUCAUAUUCUUCUCUGUCUUCCUGUGGAUUCAGUGAGCAGAUCUGUUACAUUAUUGUUUACAAGAUAAAGUUUGAUGAGUUUAUGAAUGUCAUUAUUUUGUUCAACAUUAAUU